UACAGAGGUCUCAAGCGUUGUUCGGAUUCAUUGGGCGUAAAGGGUGCGUAGGCGGCGCGGUAAGUCGGGUGUGAAAUUUCGGAGCUUAACUCCGAAACUGCAUUCGAUACUGCGGUGCUUGAGGACUGGAGAGGAGACUGGAAUUCAUGGUGGUAGCAGUGAAAUGCGUAGAGAUCAUGAGGAAGACCAGUGGCGAAGGCGGGUCGUCUGGACAAGUUCCGUGACACUGAGGCACGAAGGCCAGGGGAGCAAACGGGG
rnacentral:rRNA from 1 species